UACAGAGGGGCAAGCGUUGUUCGGAAUUACUGGGCGUAAAGGGCGCGUAGGCGGCCUUCUAAGUCGAACGUGAAAUCCCCGGGCUCAACCCGGGAACUGCGUCCGAUACUGGAAGGCUUGAAUCCGGAGAGGGAUGCGGAAUUCCAGGUGUAGCGGUGAAAUGCGUAGAUAUCUGGAGGAACACCGGUGGCGAAGGCGGCAUCCUCGGACCGGCAUUGACGCUGAGGCGCG
rnacentral:rRNA from 1 species